rnacentral:misc_RNA from 1 species
UCCGGUUUGUCACCGGCAGUCAUCUUAGAGUGCCCACCUUUACGUGCUGGCAACUAACAUCAAGGGUUGCGCUCGUUGCGGGACUUAACCCAACAUCUCACGACACGAGCUGACGACAACCAUGCACCACCUGUCUCCCCUGUCCCGAAGGCCGCGCCUAUCUCUAGACGAUUCAGGGGGAUGUCAAGACCUGGUAAGGUUCUUCGCGUUGCUUCGAAUUAAACCACAUACUCCACUGCUUGUGCGGGUCCCCGUCAAUUCCUUUGAGUUUCAGUCUUGCGACCGUACUCCCCAGGCGGAAUGCUUAAUGUGUUAACUUCGGCACCAAGGGCAUCGAAGCCCCUGACACCUAGCAUUCAUCGUUUACGGCGUGGACUAC